rnacentral:rRNA from 1 species
GACGUAGGGCGCGAGCGUUGUCCGGAUUUAUUGGGCGUAAAGAGCUCGUAGGCGGCUUGUCGCGUCGUCUGUGAAAUCCCGCGGCUCAACCGCGGGUCUGCAGUCGAUACGGGCAGGCUAGAGUUCGGUAGGGGAGACUGGAAUUCCUGGUGUAGCGGUGAAAUGCGCAGAUAUCAAGAGGAACACCUGCGGCGAAGGCGGGUUGCUGGGCCGACACUGACGCUGAGGCGCGAAAGCCAGGGGAGCGAACGGG